CUUUCCUAGGCACCGCGUCUGCUUACAAAAGUCGAGCGGAAACGAGUUAUCUGAACCUUCGGGGAACGAUAACGGCGUCGAGCGGCGGACGGGUGAGUAAUGCCUAGGAAAUUGCCCUGAUGUGGGGGAUAACCAUUGGAAACGAUGGCUAAUACCGCAUGAUGCCUACGGGCCAAAGAGGGGGACCUUCGGGCCUCUCGCGUCAGGAUAUGCCUAGGUGGGAUUAGCUAGUUGGUGAGGUAAUGGCUCACCAAGGCGACGAUCCCUAGCUGGUCUGAGAGGAUGAUCAGCCACACUGGAACUGAGACACGGUCCAGACUCCUACGGGAGGCAGCAGUGGGGAAUAUUGCACAAUGGGCGCAAGCCUGAUGCAGCCAUGCCGCGUGUGUGAAGAAGGCCUUCGGGUUGUAAAGCACUUUCAGUCGUGAGGAAGGUGGUGGUGUUAAUAGCUGUAUCAUUUGACGUUAGCGACAGAAGAAGCACCGGCUAACUCCGUGCCAGCAGCCGCGGUAAUACGGAGGGUGCGAGCGUUAAUCGGAAUUACUGGGCGUAAAGCGCAUGCAGGUGGUUUGUUAAGUCAGAUGUGAAAGCCCGGGGCUCAACCUCGGAAUAGCAUUUGAAACUGGCAGACUAGAGUACUGUAGAGGGGGGUAGAAUUUCAGGUGUAGCGGUGAAAUGCGUAGAGAUCUGAAGGAAUACCGGUGGCGAAGGCGGCCCCCUGGACAGAUACUGACACUCAGAUGCGAAAGCGUGGGGAGCAAACAGGAUUAGAUACCCUGUAGUCCACGCCGUAAACGAUGUCUACUUGGAGGUUGUGCCUUGAGCCGUGCUUUCGGAGCUAACGCGUUAAGUAAACCGCCUGGGGAGUACGUCGCAAGAUUAAAACUCAAAUGAAUUGACGGGGCCCCGCACAAGCGUGCAGCAUGUGUUUUAUUUCGAUGCAACGCGAAGAACCUUACCUACUCUUGACAUCGAGAGAACUUCCAGAGAUGAAUUUGUGCAUUCGGGAACUCUGAAACAGUUGCUUGCAUGGCCUGUCCGUCAGCCUCGUGAUUGUGCAAAUGUGCGUAAAGGUUCCUGCUACGAGCGCAACGUGUUAUUCUGGUGCUAGGCGAUAUGUCGGACUCAGUGAACUGGCGGUUAUAAUAAAAUCGU
rnacentral:rRNA from 1 species